GGGCCAAAGUUCCCCAAACACCUGGAGACAUCUCUGACUCUAAUUGUCGGAUAUCACUUCUCUGGUAGGUGACAAGAUAAUGGCGGCUCUGGAGGGAGAUGAGGUCAGACAUCCAGUACCUAUAACUACAGCCCCGACUGGCCCCUGCAUUCUCCAUUGGAUGAAACACAGAAAUCUUCAGUGGCACAGCAGACAGCCAGACAACUGUAACCACUGGCUACAAGUAAUUUUGGCUGAGCAGCAGCACACCCUGAUAAAACCAUCUCAGCAGCCAGACUAAAGCAGGCUUCAAAUUAAUUGACAAGCAGGUCAGUGUCUACACCAGUCAUGUGAAGACAUCCUCUGAGAGAAUGGGUGGAUGAGAACAAUUUGAUCCAGCAGCCAUAAAGUAACCUAUGUUCACUAUCCUUACCUUGUUAAUCAUUACCUAUCAUUGUUUCUGUAAAAAUAUAACCUAAUUCUUUAGCCCAUGUCAUUUCCCCUAUAAAUUGUGUUCCCCAAAUCAAUAAACUAAGUCACUGCCCAGCCC
rnacentral:lncRNA from 1 species